AUUGAACGCUGGCGGCAUGCUUUACACAUGCAAGUCGAACGGCAGCGCGGGCUUCGGCCUGGCGGCGAGUGGCGAACGGGUGAGUAAUGCAUCGGAACGUGCCCCGUAGUGGGGGAUAGCACGGCGAAAGCCGGAUUAAUACCGCAUCCGACCAGAGGGUGAAAGCGGGGGACCGAAAGGCCUCGCGCUAUUGGAGCGGCCGAUGUCGGAUUGGCUAGUUGGUGGGGAAAAGGCGUACAAAGGCGCAGCUCCGUAGCGGGUCGGAGAGGACGACCAGCCACACGGGGAUUGAGACACGGCCCAGACCCCUAGGGGAGGCAGCAGUGGGGAAUUUUGGACAAUGGGGGCAGUCCUGAUCCAGCCAUGCCGCGUGCGGGAAGAAGGCCUUCGGGUGGUAAACCGCUUUUGUUCGGGAGGAAGUCCUCUGGGCUAAUACCCCGGGGGUAUGACGGUACCGGAAGAAUAAGCACCGGCUAACUACGUG
rnacentral:rRNA from 1 species